rnacentral:tRNA from 1 species
GCCCAGGUGGUGGAAUGGUAGACACGUUGGACUUAAAAUCCAAUGGCCAUUAUGGCCGUGCGGGUUCAAGUCCCGCUCUGGGUAC